UGAAGAAUAUUGGGCAAUGGGCGAAAGCCUGACCCAGCAACGCCGCGUGAGGGAAGAAGGUUCUCGGAUUGUAAACCUCUGUCCCAUGGGACGAAACAAAUGACGGUACCAUGGGAGGAAGCCCCGGCUAACUACGUGCCAGCAGCCGCGGUAAUACGUAGGGGGCAAGCGUUGUCCGGAAUUAUUGGGCGUAAAGGGUGCGUAGGCGGCCUUUCAAGUUGGAUGUGAAAUCCCCGUGCUUAACAUGGGAAUUGCAUUCAAAACUGGAGGGCUUGAGUGUGGAAGAGGUAAGUGGAAUUCCCAGUGUAGCGGUGAAAUGCGUAGAUAUUGGGAGGAACACCAGUGGCGAAGGCGACUUACUGGGCCACAGCUGACGCUGAUGCACGAAAGCGUGGGGAG
rnacentral:rRNA from 1 species